UUUAUGGAGAGUUUGAUCCUGGCUCAGGAUGAACGCUGGCGGCGUGCCUAAUACAUGCAAGUCGAGCGAACGGACGAGAAGCUUGCUUCUCUGAUGUUAGCGGCGGACGGGCGAGUAACACGUGGAUAACCUACCUAUAAGACUGGGAUAACUUCGGGAAACCGGAGCUAAUACCGGAUAAUAUUUUGAACCGCAUGGUUCAAAAGU
rnacentral:rRNA from 1 species